rnacentral:rRNA from 1 species
AUACGGAGGAUGCGAGCGUUAUCCGGAUUUAUUGGGUUUAAAGGGUGCGUAGGUGGUAGAUUAAGUCAGCGGUGAAAGUUUGUCGCUCAACGAUAAAAUUGCCGUUGAUACUGGUUUACUUGAGUAUAGUUGAAGUAGGCGGAAUGCGUGGUGUAGCGGUGAAAUGCAUAGAUAUGACGAAGAACACCGAUUGCGUAGGCAGCUGACCAGACCGCAAAUGACGCUCAUGCACGAAAGUGCGGGGAUCGAACAGGAUUAGAUACCCUGGUAGUCCGCACAGUAAACGAUGAAUACUUGUUUUCGGCGAUAUAAUGUCGGAGGCAAAGCGAAAGCGAUAAGUAUUCCACCUGGGGAGUACGCCGGCAACGGUGAAACUCAAAUGAAUUGGCGGGG